UACUGACAUACGUCUCGAUGCUAUCCGAAUGAAAGUUAUUGGGGUCUUUUACCCCAGGACACCCUUAAAUACGAUUGCACCCUUAACGAAUCGCUAGAAAACGAACGAUCGACGUUAUCCAAUUGGAGUUAUAUAUCUACGUGAUCAAUUUUGUAUGGUUAUGCUGAAAUGAUCGACAUGAUUUUUAUGUAUGACUGUGUAAACGAAAAUUAACUGUAAACAUGUCGAUUAUGCCUAAAAAUAUUUCCAGAAUGUAGAAUUUGACUACCUAUUCGUAAGAAGAAUUACAGCAAGAGGCUGGUAAUUCUGAAGGAUCGACAAAUUUUCUAGUGUUUGUAACGAAAUACGCAAAGAAAGGAAGAUUGUGCUGUUGGACCGGAAGAUACUAGAAAUAUACAGACGAAUUCAUUUAAUUAUUUCAUUGCGAACGAAGGGAGAAAGAACAUAGGGAGAAUGAGGAAGGGGGAAAAGAAUGAGGGAGUGGGAAGAUGAGAGAAAAUUACCAACUCGUACUCGACACCGGAAGAUGUGAUAUCCGUAGGCUGCUGUUUAUCAAGUCAAUAUUUUUCAACAUUUUUAAUCAUUAUUUAUAAUAAAAUUGUAAUAUGUACUAUAAGUCAUUAAA